rnacentral:rRNA from 1 species
UACGGAGGGGGCGAGCGUUAUUCGGAAUUAUUGGGCGUAAAGGGCGCGUAGGCGGUGCGGUAAGUCCGCAGUGAAAUCUCUGGGCUCAACUCAGAGUCUGCUGUGGAAACUGCCGUGCUAGAGUGUGGGAGAGGUGAGUGGAAUUCAUGGUGUAGCAGUGAAAUGCGUAGAGAUCAUGAGGAAGACCAGUGGCGAAGGCGGGUCUCUGGACAGUUCCUGACACUGAGACACGAAGGCCAGGGGAGCAAACGGG